CUCUCUUUAUCUGGUUCAUGUCUUGUGUGAAUGUACAAACUGAUUCAGUAAAUCUCUGAGUUCAGUUUUGUUUUACCCGUAAGGGCCUGGUUUAAGUUCGAGUGGUUGUUUUUUUGCAGCUUUUUGAAGGGCUUGAGAAAGAAGAGGGCCACCUCAAAACAACUCAUCACAACAAUAUUGUUCAGCUUCUCUACUCUUUUCAAGAGAAAUCAUACUAUAAGGCUAUAAGCAUUCUAGCUAGAGUAGUGAUGAUUGUAUGGCUCUUCUGCCAUAACCAGCAUUGACAGCUUGCUGGCAAGUGAGGUGCCUAUCGGUUAUCAGGCUGGGACUUUCACUUUAGAGGACUUGACCUACAGUCUUGGCAUGGCUCGCUCUAGGCGUUUAAGAGAGAUUCUCCACCGGUUGUAGACUUCAACAGCGAUCUUGAAACUCUCUGAGACGAGAAAAUUGCAAGAAGGCGGAAGCUUUGUAUCCACUGUCAAUACUGUAUCACAACCAACUGUUACGGACAUUGCUGGUUUCUAAUUUUUGCCUUUUAUUAAUUCAAAUUGAUUUUUAGAUUACCGAACUUAUGUUUUCUAGAUAGACAUAGCUUUUAUAGAUUCAUGAGUGUGUAUUAAAAAUCAACUCUCCUCUGUUUAAUUUUGCUGCAUCAGUAUGUGUAUGGAGGUAUUGUAUUUUAAGCCAUGGCCACAUUCAUUGGCCAAUUCUAUGUUCUAUCGUUGAUUGCACUCUUUGUGGCCGCUUCAACUGCCCUGAUUGUGCAACCAUUUUUUGGCUAGAAUUGGAGGAUAUGAAGUUUUUGGUAAUAGGUGUUUGUAUUAUAUGCCUUUGUACUAGCUAUAUUGUAUUGUGCUUUUGUAUCACUGUUGUAUUAUGUAAUUUUCUUGGAUAUUAGUCUUCUGUACUGAAGUGUACUCCACCGAAAGUAGACUUGUUUAAUACAACUCCAAAGGAAUACAUCAAAGU